AUUGAACGCUGGCGGCAUGCCUUACACAUGCAAGUCGAACGGCAGCACGGGAGCAAUCCUGGUGGCGAGUGGCGAACGGGUGAGUAAUAUAUCGGAACGUGCCCAGUCGUGGGGGAUAACGUAGCGAAAGCUACGCUAAUACCGCAUACGAUCUAUGGAUGAAAGCGGGGGAUCGCAAGACCUCGCGCGAUUGGAGCGGCCGAUAUCAGAUUAGGUAGUUGGUGAGGUAAAGGCGCACCAAGCCGACGAUCUGUAGCUGGUCUGAGAGGACGACCAGCCACACUGGAACUGAGACACGGUCCAGACUCCUACGGGAGGCAGCAGUGGGGAAUUUUGGACAAUGGGCGCAAGCCUGAUCCAGCAAUGCCGCGUGCAGGAUGAAGGCCUUCGGGUUGUAUACUGCUUUUGUACGGAACGAAACGGUGAGCUCUAAUACAGUUUGCUAAUGACGGUACCGUAAGAAUAAGCACCGGCUAACUACGUGCCAGCCGCCGCCGUAA
rnacentral:rRNA from 1 species